rnacentral:rRNA from 1 species
GACGAACGCUGGCGGCGUGCCUAACACAUGCAAGUCGAACGGAAAGGCACUGCUGUUGUGGGGUUCUCGAGUGGCGAACGGGUGAGUAACACGAGAGUAACCUGCUCUUGACUUUGGGAGAACAUCAGGUAACUGGGGCUAAUACCGGAUAGGAGACCCUGUUGCAUGGUGGGGGUUGGAUAGUUGCGGCGGGCGGGGAUGGACUAGCGGCUUAUGAGCUUGUUGGUGGGGUAGUGGCUGACCAAGGCUUUGACGGGUAGCCGGCCUGAGAGGGUGACCGGCCACAAUGGGACUGAGAUACGGCGCAGUCUCCUACGGGAGGCAGCAGUGGGGAAUAUUACACAAUGGGCGGAAGCCUGUUGCAACAACGCCGCGUGCGGGAUGACGGCCUUCGGGUUGUGAACCGCUUUCGCCUGUGACGAAGCGUGAGUGACGGUAAUGGAUAAAGAAGCACCGGCUAACUACGUG